rnacentral:rRNA from 1 species
AUUGAACGCUGGCGGCAGGCCUAACACAUGCAAGUCGAACGGUAACAGGAAGAAGCUUGCUUCUUUGCUGACGAGUGGCGGACGGGUGAGUAAUGUCUGGGAAACUGCCUGAUGGAGGGGGAUAACUACUGGAAACGGUAGCUAUACCGCAUAACGUCGCAAGACCAAAGAGGGGGACCUUCGGGCCUCUUGCCAUCGGAUGUGCCCAGAUGGGAUUAGCUAGUAGGUGGGGUAACGGCUCACCUAGGCGACGAUCCCUAGCUGGUCUGAGAGGAUGACCAGCCACACUGGAACUGAGACACGGUCCAGACUCCUACGGGAGGCAGCAGUGGGGAAUAUUGCACAAUGGGCGCAAGCCUGAUGCAGCCAUGCCGCGUGUAUGAAGAAGGCCUUCGGGUUGUAAAGUACUUUCAGCGGGGAGGAAGGGAGUAAAGUUAAUACCUUUGCUCAUUGACGUUACCCGCAGAAGAAGCACCGGCUAACUCCGUG